rnacentral:lncRNA from 1 species
UAUAACAUGCCUCAGAAACAAAAAGCCAAAGAAAACAGACAAAUGGAAAUGAAAUGAGUAGAUAUUAUUUAUGAAAUGUCUUACAACGCGAAUUAAGCACCGGUGAAGCUUGGUGGUUUGUAGGCGAUGAAACUGAUGCACUGGACUUGACGGUUGUUGUCGAAUCCAAUGAUCCUGAUGAAGGCGUUAGGGUACUCCGUUUUGCACUCUUGGACUUCCUUCAACACUUGAGCAGAGUCGGUGCAUCCGAACAAGGGAAGCUUCCACAUUGUCCAGUAACGGCCAUCGUAGUAUCCGGGGGUGCUUCCGUGCUCACGGUACACAAAUCCAUGCUACACACACAUGAGAAUUCCAAUCAAAAUCAGGAUUGAGAUUAUGUGAUAAAAGAUGUUUAGAUCCAAAAAAAACUUCUAUUUUUAUUACCUCCAACUCGAAUUCAACACAAGGAAUCCACUUGUUGCGGAGAAGGUAGUCGACUUCCUUACCCAAUUCAACUUCGGUAAGGUCAGGAAGGUAAGAGAGGGUCUCAAACUUCUUCUUUCCAACUGGUGGCCACACCUACGAAACGUAUUUCCAAUUAAUGAAUAUUAGUUCACUUUUGUAUAUACUGUUUAACGAUUCUAGGUAUCUAAAUGUACUUUUGAAUAGGAUUCUGUUCGAAUCUACCAGUUGCGUGUAAUAAAAGACAAGCCUAGCUCUAGACUCUCUAGUGACAUUUACCUUCAUGCAGCUAACUCUUCCUCCGUUGCUAACGAUGGAGGUAAUGUCAUUGUUGGCCUUGCGGGUGACUGGGAAUGCAGAGGAAGACUUCAAGCCGGUGAAUGGAGCGACCAUGGUGGCUUGAGCCGGUGAGGUAACCACAGCUGCGGAGGAGAGCAUAGAGGAAGCCAUUACUACUUCUUCUUCUUCUUCUUUUUUCUUAACUUACUUGUCUGUCUAUUGCUUCGGUUAUCUAUAUAUAGUGAGAAGCGCAAGAGGUAUAAAGCCCUAAUGAUCGAAGGAUCAAAAUUUCAUGAUAUCGUCGUUAACUGCCACAGGAUUAAAGAAAGGUGUAGAAAUAACAUUAUCUUAUCUUAUCUUGUAAGAAAACGUAUGAAUGUGUAUGGUUACUCGUCUCAACUUGAGCCAAUGCUUUUGGCUCCUUCCUAUUAAGAGAGGACAAUUCUGACGCAUGAUCUACAUUUCAAUGUUCGCGGACCUUCUAUUUAUAUGAAUUAGUUUCGCUUAAUUUGAUUAGGUUCAUUAUUAAAUUCACAAUUGAAAUUACUAUACGAAAUGUACUUGAAUUAUACAUGUAUGUCGUACUAAUUAACUUAUGAGUAAUGAGACUACUGUAAUGGUCAUGUCCAUAUUCAAACGAACAAAAACAAAAGAAUAGUGGGUCCGAUUGGUAAGUUAAAAGUAAAACCGUAUAAAAACUGUUACUUUUUUUUUUUGACACGAAAAACAAACUGUUACUUAAUAGUUAAAAACUAUAAACUAAAUCAAUAAAAGUGGUACCAAAACACUAAAUGUAACGUUUUUAGGUAAUGCUUUGUGCAUCUCUCUGUGAUGGGUAACUUCCUGCGGAUUCAGGUAGUUCGGUUCGACUAAAAUCUUGUUGAACAUAAAAAAAAUUCAGUUCAGUUUGGUAUUUGGGUAGUUUGGUUUUUAAAAUUUUACCGAAACUAACUAAAGUUUUUGGUUCUGAUUAUAUUUCGGUUAAAAAUUUGGGUAAAAUUGGUUAAUUCGGUUAAUUCUGUUAGUUUGGUUAAUUCGGUCCAAUGUUUUGGUUUGGUUAAUUCUGUUAGUUCGGUUCAAAAUUUUGAGUAAUUUUAGGUAGCUUGGUUACUUCGAUUCAAAAUUUUGGUUAGCUAGGUUAGUUCGGAUUGAAAUUUGGGAACAAAAUUUUUUUUGAAACCGAUUACCGAACAGAACGAGCCAAAAACCAUUUUCUUAUAAACAGGCUGAACCAAACAUGCUGAACAGAACCGAACUUCUCAAUUAAAUGAAAUUUCGGAUGCCUUAAUCGGAAUGAUACAAGAUUACCAAUUAUAUUUAGCUCUGGUCAGAUAGUGUUGUAUUUUUUAUGAUUUUUUUAAUGAAUGUAAAAGUUAUUAAUCCAAAAAAUCAUCCUUACAUUGAAAGCAAUGUUUUAUAAGAUUAAGUUUCGGUUAAAUGUAAGAUUAGUUUUUAGAUUUUUGAGUUACUUUUUGAUGUAUAAUGUAUUACAUUUGAGUUACAAUUUUGAGGGAUUCCUUUGGUAAAAUUGACAAAUCAAGUGGUAAUUCAACAUCAAGAAAAAUACGAUGUGUUAAGAUUUGAGUUAGUAUGUUUUUUUGUUUUUCAACUAAAACCCUACGUUCAUUUUUGGCUAUAUUAAACAUUUUGUUUUCUAAAUUAAUUUAAUAGUUAUAUAUGUUUACACUCGCCGGAUGAGAGAGAGAGAGAGAGAGAGAGAGAGAGAGAGAGAGAGAGAAGGAAGUAGUUGAUAUAUAUAUAUGUAUCUUAUUUUCAAUGUCUACCAGUAGUGUGUACAAAAGAUCUCAUAAAGUCCACGUAAGAAGUGUAAACUAUCAAAUGAUGACCAUUUUAUGAAUGAAUUUAAUCUAUAUUAAAUAUACAUAAACCCGUAUAUGAUACUAUUGUGAAUGUGAUGAUAAAAAGAUAAAAUGAUCGUUAUUUGAAUCUUUGAUGACCUAACUAACUUCAUCUGGAGAGAGAGAGAGAGAGAGAGAGAGAUGAGGGAGAGAAGAAGGCAAAUAUGUUUUUAUAUAAAACUUUUAUGACGGAAAAGGGUCGUUAGAAUUCCGUCGAAAUAUUUUGGUAUUUGGCAGUUCACAAAAAUUUUGGUUGUUCCUUUUCCCAAGUACAUUAAAAUUCCGAUGAAAUUACGAUGACCUUAUAUUUUUCGUCGAACUUUGUGUUAAUUGGUCAACUGACCAAGUCGGAAACAAGAAUAUGCUAUAUUCGUCAGAAGUUUUUCAGAAAAAUACUUUCAAAAUUCUGACGAAUAUAGAAUAUUCUCUGCAUGCUUUUCAAUUGGUUGAAAAAUAGAUCCAUCAGAAUUUUGUCGGUAUAUUCCAAUUAAAAAGAGGGUUGGGGUUUCAAAACAAUUGAAAUUUGACCCACAAUAAACUUUAUAACUUUUUGAUAACUUAGAAGGAGUUAUCUGCAUGUUUAAGUAUAUAAGUGUUUAUACGAGAUCAUAUUACAAAUAAUUGAUAUUGUAAGUUGGAUUCUCGAAAUAUGUUUUUUAAGUAUAUAAAUGCUUAUGAGAGAUAAUACAUAUCCGCGGAUAUAUUUGUAGAGGAUUUUAUAACUUGUAAAAAUGGAAUGCUUUUUAACUCACAUCCUAUUAUACACUUAAUAUGUGUUUUUUUGACCUCAUAGGUAUCCGGUUUUACAUUAAUAUUAACUAAAUCAUAUCGGAAACAUUUAUUCGCUGGAAUUCCAUCGGAAUAUUCCGACAAAAUUCCGACGACAUUGGUAUAUUCCGUUGGUAUAAUUCCGAUGGAAAUGAAACCCCAUACCGAAACACCAAAAUAAGUGUUUUCGUUGGAAUUUCGUUUGAAUAUACCGACAGAAUACCGACGAAAUAAAGAAAUUUUUGAAUAUUAAAUAAUUUUGGAAUACAUUGUAAAUUUCUUAAGGCCAACAACCAAAAAAAUACAAAUAUUUUAUUCAACUCCAACAACCAAUACAUAAAAAAACUACACAAUUGAAAGUUAAAUAUAUGAUUACAGAUUUUCUAAAUAUGUUAAUCUACCCAUAAUCCGAAGAAUAAUCAGACGGACAUGAAUCCGAAUCUUCGUCAAACUCUCCAACCUCAGCAUCUGACUUGAAGUGUACAACAGCAUCAUUUCCAAACUCGGUAAAAUCGCAACAAGUUAAAAAUUUCUAAUCUUCAACUAGACUUACGCUGAUUCUAGAGUUUGGUUGCAAUGUGUCAUGAUCAGAACUUCCAAAUAUAAUCUUGAUUAUUGAAGUUUUGAACACUUAUGGUAUUCUUUGUUUUAUCCUAGAGUUUGAAACUGAAUACAACAUAGAGUAAGGAGUGAACUCUGGACGAGUGGCUGACUCAUUUGGUGCUAAAAAGACAAUAUUUCAAGUACUUUGAUAGUUUGUGUUCUUCUUGUUUAAGUCUUCAAGUAUUUUCUGUUUCUGGUGUGAUUUGAAAACUUUGUUUCAUGGAGCUAUGUUUGUUUCAUUUUCUGUGUUGGAAAAUUAUGUUUUAUUUCCUGGCUUGUUUUGCUUUGACAUUUUGAUUAAUGAGUCUGGUUUCAUUUAACAUUUCAUUUUCUAGAGUUUUUUUAUUUUAUUUUGGUUAAUCAGAUGUCGUUUGGGUAACAAGUCUAGUUUCAGUUUUUAGUUAAAUAGGGUAAUAUUUAACCGAACCAAAUUUUACCCAUUUUUGGGUUAUAUAUGGUUAGUUUCAUCAAAAAAUUUAACCGAUCCGAAACUGAACAAUACAUCGACCAAACACUAUUUGGAUACAUUUUUCAAAUAACCAAACUACUCAGAACCAACCUGAUUACCCAAAAUGUCAGGCCUAUCAGAAACAUGUUUUGAUACCAAUUGAAAGUGUGAAUGAGGCUAGAGUAAAGUGCCGAAAACAUUAUUUUCCAGUUUACUAGAAUAAAAACAAAUACAACUAAUUUGUAAACCCGUAAAUCAAGUACAAUCCUCCUAAAAUGCCGUUGUUUUCUAUUGCAAGAACUCAUUAGGGUAACCUAAUUGUAAUCUAAAAAUCCCCAAGAGCCUAGAAUUCAAUUCUAGAAUUCUCUCAAAGUUUGUUAACACCUAGCGGACAGCAAUGACACCAAACGCUUGAUCACACAAGCACACAAAUCUCUAUCGGUUUUCUUAUUCUCCAAAGUCCAUUAUUCUUUAUAAGGCUCAUGCUCCUUGUAUAGAAUACCUAAACCUGCAUCACAAGUUCUUCCCAGAAAAUUUUCCUUAUUUUUAAAUUAUAUUUCUUUUUUCCUUUUUUUUCCUGCAAACAAACUUCUAUUUUACUUAAAGUAAAUAUUCAGUUGUUAAAAGGUCUUGUUUAUGUAGAUGUUCUAGUUCACAUUUGCAACGCAGCAAUGUUUUACUUAACUACAAUUAAGAAUUAAGAAAUAUAUAUAUAUGUGUGUAUCUCUUAUAUAUUAAAAGAAAAACAUUACAACAUUUGAGGUAUACACAUAUCAUCACCAUAAUAAGUUUCAGAAUCCUAAAAAAACAGAUUGGUUCAUCUAAAUAUAUAAUAAGUUUUUUAUUAAAUUAAUCAUAAUUCAUCAUUAAUAUUCAUCAUUCUUUCCUUAAAUAAAAAUUACAAAAUUUUCUAAUGUGGCUAAAGUAUAUAUGAAAAUUAAUAAUACAGAUUUAAUAAAAAUCAUUGUAUCAUCUAUCAUAUUUGUUUAAUUUCAAAUUAUUAAAAUAAAUUAAACGACCACAUUAACCAUAUAAUAAAAAUUUAGAUUUUUCUGUAUAUGUUAUAUAUUUUUUUUAAAACGACCAUCAAUUAUUAAAACUGUCAAAACUCUCACAUUCAAAUUAUUGUGAUCCAUUGUUUAAGAUUUUUCCUAUGAUAAGAUACAAAUGCUUACAAAAUAAUUUAAUUAAAAAAUCUGAUUUAAUAAAUAUUAAGAUUAAAAAAUAUAUAUAUUAAUAUCUUUUAAAUUAAACUAUAUAACAUAUAGAAUACAUAAAUAUUUUAAUUUUGAAAUUUGUUUUGAAUUUUUUUUUCUUGAUAAAUAUUUGAACAACUAUUGACAAAUUAAUAUUUAAACUUAAAAUAUUUCAUUGAUUUUUUUAAAAAAUAUAUAAAUUAAUAAAAUUAUUAAUUUCAGAGUGAAAAUUUUGUUAUCAACGAUUUAAAGUUUUUGGUUAUAAAAAUAUACAAAUGAUCAAAAAACCUUAUGAGUAAAAACAUCAUUUAAUAGAUAUCAAUAUUAAAAAUAAAUUAUAUAUAUAUAUAUAUAUAUGUUAUUAUCAUUUUUUUUGGACAUUGAUACUGGUGAAAAAAAGGGCAGAGCGAGUGAAAAAAAAAAGCAGAGUCGUCGUCUUUUCACCUUCUCCGGCCGCGGCCUCUCGCCGUUGGUUCCGUGAGAAGGUGGUUGCAUGUUUCUUCUAGUUUUAUUCUCUUUUUAGUUUUCGAUGGUCUCAAAUCUGAAUAGAAGCUUCAUGUCUUCGGAUUGAAGUGAAGAGAUUCAGAUCUGGACGCAACAGACAUCGAUCUUGUCAGAUCUAUGGCCUGUGGUGGUUGGCUAGUGGUUACCGGCUGUAUGGAGAAGAAUCGUGUUAAGUAAGGCUUGGGUGGCCUUGCUGUGGUGUGGAGGCGCGUAGAAGGCGCGUGCUGAGCCCUUUCAAAGUCCAGUGGCGAGUUUAAGUUGGAAUUGGAGGAGGUCAGUGGAGUACAGGCGUAGAGGAGGAGGAGGAGGCGCAGUCUACAGCAACGGUUAUCUAUUAGCUAACAGUCCGGUUUGUUUCUUGUAUGAAUGGGUUUGAGUCUCGUCUAGAUGUUUGUAGUCAUCUGCCUUUAUGGUCUGUGUCUUCUAGUUUAUGUGUUGUUUUCUAUAUUUUAAUCUUUGGCUCCAGAUAGUAUUGUUUACUAUGCUGGCUACUGGCUCCGGAAGAAUCUUUGUCUUGCCGGCUUAAUGUAACCUUUGUUCAAGUUUCAAUAUUAAUCCAACAGAUGACAAAAAAAAAUGUUAUUAUCAUUUAAAAAUUGAAUUAUAUAUCAUAUAAAAUAGAAAGUGAUUGUUUUGGUUAAUAUAAUUUAUUAUACCAGUUUAAUUAUAUACAUAAUAGUUAAUGAAUUUUUAUUUAUUCUUUAUUAUUUCUUAAAAGGUAAAAGAACAUAUAAUACAUAAUAUAUAUAUUAUAAUGUUCAUCUUCCGCAAGGCGCAGAUUUUCACUUAGUAUUUGUUAAAUAUUAUGAUAAAUUCUUAUCCACAUGCCCUAUCUUAUGUAUGCACACCGUCCACAAAUGUGUCCAUCAAAGAUUUCAAGUGGACCAUCCUUUCCCCCAGUGGUUAACAAUGUGUGUGGGUAUUAUAGAAAAGUAGAAAAUUUAUUAUCUUUUUCCUUCAAAAGAAUUAACAAAAAUAAGAACAAAGAUAUCUAGGAAGUAGUUUAUAUAUAUAUAUAAUACAUGUAUCUUAUUUUCAAUGUACCAGUAGUGUGUACAAAAGAUCUCAUAAAGUCCACGUAAUAAGUGUUAAAUAUCAAAUGAUGACUAUUUUAUGAAUGAAUUGUAAUCUAUAUUAAAUAUACAUAAACCCGUAUAUGAUACUAUUGUGAAUGUGACGAUAAAAAGAUAAAAUGAUUGUUAUUUGAAUCUUUGAUGACCUAACUAACUUCAUCUGAAAUUAUAUUCCUAGGUACUGCUGUUUUCCUAUUCUACAAAAUAUACCACUAACAUUAUCUAACCUGUUUUGUUAAGUUAUUUUGACUGUUUUCCUAUCCCAAUAAGAGUUGAAAACCUAAUAGCCAUCGGAAAGUAACCAAGACGAAGAAGCAAUAUAGAGAUUACAUGUUCACAAUCACACAUUUGACAAUCCGAUAUAGAAUGUCUGAGAAACAGAAAACCAAAGGGAAAAGAAACAGACAAUUCGAAAUGAAAUGAGCAGAGAUUAUUAUGUGAAUGUCAUAGCAAAUUAAGCACCGGUGAAGCUUGGUGGUUUGUAGGCGAUGAAACUGAUGCACUGAACUUGACGGUUGUUGUCAAAUCCGAUGAUCCUGAUGAAAGCGUUAGGGUACUCCGUUUUGCAUUCUUGGACUUCCUUCAACACUUGAGCAGAGUCAGUGCAUCCGAACAAGGGAAGCUUCCACAUUGUCCAGUAACGUCCAUCAUAGUAUCCGGGUGUGCUUCCGUGCUCACGGUACACAAAUCCAUGCUAUACAAACAUGAGAGUACCAUUCAUAAUAAGAAUUCACAUGGUCUAAUAAAGGAUGUUUAGAUCCAAAAAUUAUUUUUUCUUUAUUACCUCCAACUCGAAUUCAACACAAGGAAUCCACUUGUUGCGGAGAAGGUAGUCGACUUCCUUACCCAAUUCAACUUCGGUAAGGUCAGGAAGGUAAGAGAGGGUCUCAAACUUCUUCUUUCCAACUGGUGGCCACACCUACAAAUUAAAUCACAUUUCCAGUUGGUGAAUACUAAGUCACGUUUGUAUAUAUUGUUUUGGACAUUAAUUGAUCCUAGGUACGUUAUAUACAGUUUUCAAUGGGAUUCAUGUUCGAAUGCACCAGUUACGUGUAAUAAAGGACAGGCCUGCAAUUAUUCUAGAUGGCCACACCUACAAAUUAAAUCACAUUUCCAGUUGGUGAAUACUAAGUCAAGUUUGUAUAUAUUGUUUUGGACAUUUAUUGAUCCAAGGUACGUUAUAUACAUUUUUCAAUGGGAUUCAUGUUCGAAUGCACCAGUUGCGUGUAAUAAAGGACAUGCCUGCAAUUAUUCUAGUGAUAUUUACCUUCAUGCAGCUAACUCUUCCUCCGUUGCUUGCAAUGGAAGUAAUGUCGUUGUUUGCUUUGCGGGUGACUGGGAAUGCAGCGGAUGACUUCAAGCCGGUGAAUGGAGCGACCAUGGUGGCUUGAGCCGGUGAGGUAACCACAGCAGCGGAGGAAAGCAUAGAGGAAGCCAUUACUACUUCUUCUUCUUCUUCUUUUCUCUUAACUUACUUGUUUGUCUAUCGCUUUGGUUAUCUAUAUAUAACGAGAACCGCAAGAGGAAAAGGCCCUAAUAACCAGAGGGUCCAGAUUUCAUGAUAACGUCGUUAACUGCCACAUGAUUAAAGAAAGGUGUUGAGACCCUUAUCGAUACUGACCACUAUGUUAAGGCCACGUGGCAGAAAUGCUAUUAUCUUAUCUUGCAUUAAAAUGUAUGAAUGUGUAUAUAUGGUUACUGAUUUACUGCUGGCCUCCACUUGUUUAUGAGUAUAAAUUACUAAAACUGUUAAAAGUUUCACAUUCAAAUUUUGUGAUCUAUGAUUUAAAACUUUUGUUAUGACAAUGAUACAAAUAAUUAAAAAUAAUAUAAGUUGAAAGUCUCAUUUAAUAAGUAUCAAAAAUAAAAGAUAUAUAAAUAUAUGUAUCAUUUUAAAUUAAACUAUAUGCCACAUAUAAAAAUACAUAAAUAUUUUAAUUUUGAAAUUUACUUUGAACAUUUUUUUGAUAAAAAAUUGAAAAACUAUUGACAACUUAAUUUUUUAAAAUAUUAUAAAUUACUUAAACCAUUAAUCCCACAGUGAAAAUUUUGUUAUCACUAAUUUAGACUUUUUUCUAUAACAUAUACAAAUGAUAGAAAAAAAUUGAGCAAAAAGCAUCAUUAAUAAAUAUUAAUAUUAAAAUAUACCAUAUAUAUGUUACUAUCAUUUAAAUUUAAAUAUAUCAUAUCAAAUAGAAAAAAUAUUUUUUCGAUUUAUAAAAUUUAUUUAUAUGUUCACACCAAUUUAAUUAUAUAAGUAGUAGAUAAUUAAUUUUUAAUUAUUCAAUAUAUAUUUAUUAUUUCAUAAUAUGUUAUAAACAUAUAAUAUAUAAAAUCAUUUAUAUAUAUAAUGUUCAUCCCGCGCAAGACGCGGGUCUUAACCUAGUUUAGUAUUAUAACUAUUACAAGUUAUGAGCUACUUAGUUGUGAGCAAGGAGUACACUGUUAAUGCUAACGUCGAUAAACGAAGAAGGGAAACAAUACUAUAUAGUGGGUCCCAUUGGUAACUGAACACGGUAGUUAAACUGUAAGUCUGUCUGGGUUUAAAAAAGCGUGCUAAGGCGUCGCUAAGGCGUCAGGCGACCUUGGUUGGGAGGGUCACCGCCUCGAGGAGGUGAAGCAAGGCGAAUUCGAGUAAGCGUUGCUUCAACCUCGCUUCAAGCCACAUUUCACGCCUCACGCCUUAUCACACUUCAUCGCUUAUGCAACUAAAGGUAAGAUUCCUAUCACAAGUUAUUAACAUAUAAUAUUCACUUUCUUUUAAUGGUUUCCAAAACUUCAAUUCACUUCAAACUAUUUAGUGUCUUUACAUUUUUGAAUAGAUAUUUUCAUGCGUGAAUCUUAUCCAAGUCUAUAUUCUUUUUUUCUGGUUCUAUAAAUCUUUUGUUUCUAAAGCUUUGAAGACUUAGGUUUAUGUUUAGUUUCUUUUAAUUAUUUGUUGGUUUGAUUCUCUUUUUUUGAAGACUUUAUUGGAUCAAUUCUCUGUUUUAUUCUCUGUUUAUGAAUACUUAUUAACUCAAGUCUGUAACCAUGAAUUUAACACGGCCAUAUGAAAUAUGAUAAUCAAUGUUUUAGAUCCAGAGUAAAAGAUGAAUUCAUAAACCAUGCUAUUUAUUGUCUACCCACUUUUUAAACUUAGGUAUUAGCAGCAAUACCUUCUUACCCAAUGGUAUUCCCUAUUUUAUGUGUAUAUAUCCAGAAAUAGAUAGAACACUUACUUAUAGAUAAUUUUGUAUAUCUGAAAAGCGUAAAAUGAUAAAUUGUUCAGAGGAAUUAACGGGCAUUUCGUAGACACUAUUAGGCAUGCGGAAAUAGAAGACCAAGCUUGCUUUGAGGCUAAUAUCAAAAAAAGGUGAAGGAACCUGAGGAACGACAUAGUCCAUCAUCUAUCCGAGCCAUAAGCUUACAAGAAAUUUGUAUGCUUGAUAAAUCAUGGACUCAUGAAUAACUCUUUAUUGGUUUUGGAUGGGCUUAGACAAAUUCGUCAUGACAAAUUCAACUUUUAGGAGCUAAAAAUCAGACGAGAAGUGUGUUACCGAUAUAUUUAGAGCUUAUGGCCAUUUCUUGGGCUACCGAAUGCAUGUUACAAAUGUCGAUGUGCCAACACUUUAGUACAUAUUGCAAGGACCUCGUCUCGAUGAUACAAAAUCUAACUUUUCAAUGGAGAUAAAAGAACUUUCAAGAUUGAUGAGUAGAUUUUUGUAGAUUUAUCAAUUGUUUAUCACCCUUGUUCUAAAAAAAAAUAAGCAGACUCAUUAGCUAAGAUAGCAAAAACAUAUCACAGAGAUUUGUAUUUUAUUGGUUCUUAUAUUUUGCUAUAGUUACCUAGACCACCUUAAAUUUAAGUACUAGAUCAGCCGUUUGAAAUUAAAAAUGGUUGUUAAACUGUUAAAAUGAAAAAAGUGAAUUGGUACAAAAAAAAAACUAAUAGAGUAGAAACUCUAUAAAUUAAUACUCAAUAAAUUAAUAGACACGGGUAAAUUAAUAUUUUUUCAAUCCCGAAUUGAACUGAUUCAAAAUACGAUACAAAUCAAUAGAGUAAUAAGAUAAUAUUUUUAAAAAAAAAAUCUUAUGUAAAAAUAUGGUCCUAUUAAAAGCAUAAAUUUAUAUAUAUAUAUAUAUAUAUAUAUAUAUAUAUAUAUUCAUAUAAAUAAAAACAAAAGAUAAUAUUGUUUAAUUUAUAUUAACAAUAGAAUUCAUCUCUAUUUUUUCUUAACCUUCAAUAUAUUUUUGAUAAUAUUUAGUAAAAUAUAUCUAAAAACAUUUAGACAAUAGAAAAACAAUAGAACAAUAGAAAAAUCAAUUUUCUAAAAUUUAAUUAAUAUAUAAACAGUAAGAUCUAGAAAGGAAAGUUUUAUAAAUCAAUAACUCUACAUAUUAAUAACUCUAUAAAAUAAUAAAAUAUCCUAAUAUUAACAUUAUUAAUUUAUGGAGUUUUUCUUGUAUCAUGAGAUACACGACAUACUAAAUAUAUUAUGGUCUUAUAUAAUAUUUAUCAUUUAAAUAUAUACAGUAUAUGUUUUUACUAAAUAUAUAAUAAUAAAAUAGUUAUAGUAUAUUUUAUAAUAAUUUUAGAUCUUUAAUAUAUAAAUAUAAUUACUUUUCACAUUUUUCAUACUAACCACAAACAUUAAUACUCUCACCAAUAUGAAUAACCUGACACACUAAAAUAACCAUUUAUUUGGUAAAUUCUCAACAACAAAAAACUAUUAUAGCUUACUCCAUCACGUCUAAGGUUUGUCUGGUUCAAACGCAGCGGUUGCGGAAGUUUGCAAAUGCGGGUGGUUACGGUUUUUAGCGGUUUUAAGAGAUUUGUACGAUUGGUUCUGCGGUUAGAAAUUUGUGCGUUUGCGGGAUAGUUAUGAUUGGUUAAUUACCAAAUGCAGCAGCGGUUAAAUAAUAAAUUAACAAUAUUUACAUUUUAUAUAAUUAUAAAAAUAUCAAAAAUCAUAACAUUAUAUUAAAUAUAAAAAUUAUAUUUAGAAAGUUAUAGUUUUAAAUUUUAAAUAAAAUAUAAUAGAUAUAUUUUAGUAUUUUUAUAAUUCCAAUUUAAAAUAUUUAUUGAAUAUUUUUAUUUUGUAUUUAUAUUGUUUUAAAAAAAAACAUUUCCUCCCGUAACUGCCUGCAACCGCAGCUGGAACCAGCUUUUAAACUUAUGAGGUUUAAAAUGGUUUGAAGCGGUUUAUAGCGGUUUGAGUAAGCUUCAUAAAUUAAUAUAUAUAUAUAUAUAUAUAUAUAUUCAUAUAAAUAAAAACAAAAGAUAAUAUUGUUUAAUUUAUAUUAACAAUAGAAUUCAUCUCUAUUUUUUCUUAACCUUCAAUAUAUUUUUGAUAAUAUUUAGUAAAAUAUAUCUAAAAACAUUUAGACAAUAGAAAAACAAUAGAACAAUAGAAAAAUCAAUUUUCUAAAAUUUAAUUAAUAUAUAAACAGUAAGAUCUAGAAAGGAAAGUUUUAUAAAUCAAUAACUCUACAUAUUAAUAACUCUAUAAAAUAAUAAAAUAUCCUAAUAUUAACAUUAUUAAUUUAUGGAGUUUUUCUUGUAUCAUGAGAUACACGACAUACUAAAUAUAUUAUGGUCUUAUAUAAUAUUUAUCAUUUAAAUAUAUACAGUAUAUGUUUUUACUAAAUAUAUAAUAAUAAAAUAGUUAUAGUAUAUUUUAUAAUAAUUUUAGAUCUUUAAUAUAUAAAUAUAAUUACUUUUCACAUUUUUCAUACUAACCACAAACAUUAAUACUCUCACCAAUAUGAAUAACCUGACACACUAAAAUAACCAUUUAUUUGGUAAAUUCUCAACAACAAAAAACUAUUAUAGCUUACUCCAUCACGUCUAAGGUUUGUCUGGUUCAAACGCAGCGGUUGCGGAAGUUUGCAAAUGCGGGUGGUUACGGUUUUUAGCGGUUUUAAGAGAUUUGUACGAUUGGUUCUGCGGUUAGAAAUUUGUGCGUUUGCGGGAUAGUUAUGAUUGGUUAAUUACCAAAUGCAGCAGCGGUUAAAUAAUAAAUUAACAAUAUUUACAUUUUAUAUAAUUAUAAAAAUAUCAAAAAUCAUAACAUUAUAUUAAAUAUAAAAAUUAUAUUUAGAAAGUUAUAGUUUUAAAUUUUAAAUAAAAUAUAAUAGAUAUAUUUUAGUAUUUUUAUAAUUCCAAUUUAAAAUAUUUAUUGAAUAUUUUUAUUUUGUAUUUAUAUUGUUUUAAAAAAAAACAUUUCCUCCCGUAACUGCCUGCAACCGCAGCUGGAACCAGCUUUUAAACUUAUGAGGUUUAAAAUGGUUUGAAGCGGUUUAUAGCGGUUUGAGUAAUUAUUUCAAAACGCCAACAACCGCUACCAACCGCAAAAAUUUGCAUUUACGGGUGGUACUGGGGAAACCGGUCAUACUCUGGCCCAGUUUACAAGACCUGGGGAAACUACUUAUCAUGUUAUCUUAGAACUUCUCCCAACACUACAAAUGUGGUUCUUUCGAUCGAACCAUAUUUUUAACGCUGAUUUAUUAUGAUAUUACAAUUAUAAAAAAAAGUUACAUAAAUGAUUUUACAGCCGACAAUACUAUAUGUUUUAUGAGAAUCUAUGUCUAAGUGUUUUACCUGAGUCGUUUUAUAAAAAUUCACACAUGGUCGAGUUUACUGCAAAAUUGUGAAGAUCUCUUUUAAACCUUUUUUUCUUAGUUGUUUAAUAUAUUAUUCUUUCGGGAAUUGAAUUUAGAUCUACUGGUGUAAAAGCGUUAAUGAAUCAUUAGUCAAACUAGUGGACUAAGAGGCUUCCACCGGUAAAACCAUCUUGUCCUACUUUUUAUAAAUUUGUAGAGUUAAUACCAAUAUGAAUUACCUUUUUAAAGAGAAAAUUAAUAUUAAUUAGCUGUGUGAUGAGAGAUACUUUUAUUUAUAUAUAAUUUAAUUUAUUUCAAAUGCAUGCAAUAAUAAACUAUUCAAAAGUAUGUGUAGUUUGGCUUUUUUAGCUUAGGUUUUCAUUUUUUUCUUAACAAAUAUAUUAUAUUUAUGAAAAAUAGUGUUUACGGUGGAGAUUUGUUUUUCCUAUUUUCUGAGAGUCAAAAACAUGGAACCGCUAUAUUUGGAAAAAUAUAUUAUAUACUAUUUCUAUUGGUUUUCCUAGGAUUUUGAUGUAGCCGCUCUAUACCUUUUUGAAGAAAAUGUUUUUUGAAAUUUCUUCAGAACAAGUAUAAAUACUGAUAAGGUGAUUGACGCAAUGUCAUUGCAGGAGAAGGGAA